rnacentral:rRNA from 1 species
UACAGAGGUCUCAAGCGUUGUUCGGAUUCAUUGGGCGUAAAGGGUGCGUAGGCGGCCGCCUAAGUCAGACGUGAAAUCCCUCGGCUCAACCGGGGAACUGCGUCUGAUACUGGGUGGCUUGAAUCCGGGAGAGGGAUGCGGAAUUCCAGGUGUAGCGGUGAAAUGCGUAGAUAUCUGGAGGAACACCGGUGGCGAAGGCGGCAUCCUGGACCGGCAUUGACGCUGAGGCGCGAAAGCCAGGGGAGCAAACGGG